rnacentral:rRNA from 1 species
AUUGAACGCUGGCGGCAGGCUUAACACAUGCAAGUCGAGCGGGGUGAUGGUGCUUGCACUAUCACUUAGCGGCGGACGGGUGAGUAAUGCUUAGGAAUCUGCCUGUUAGUGGGGGACAACAUCUCGAAAGGGAUGCUAAUACCGCAUACGUCCUACGGGAGAAAGCAGGGGAUCACUUGUGACCUUGCGCUAAUAGAUGAGCCUAAGUCGGAUUAGCUAGUUGGUGGGGUAAAGGCCUACCAAGGCGACGAUCUGUAGCGGGUCUGAGAGGAGGAGCCCCCACACUGGGACUGAGACACGGCCCAGACUCCUACGGGAGGCAGCAGUGGGGAAUAUUGGACAAUGGGGGGAACCCUGAUCCAGCCAUGCCGCGUGUGUGAAGAAGGCCUUAUGGUUGUAAAGCACUUUAAGCGAGGAGGAGGCUCUUUUGGUUAAUACCCAGAAUGAGUGGACGUUACUCGCAGAAUAAGCACCGGCUAACUCUGUGCCAGCCGCCGCCGAA